rnacentral:rRNA from 1 species
GAUGAACGCUGGCGGCGUGCUUAACACACGCAAGUCGAACGGUGAAGGCGGAGCUUGCUCUGUUGUAUCAGUGGCGAACGGGUGAGUAACACGUGAGCAAUCUGCCUCUGCCUUUGGGAUAAGCGCUGGAAACGGCGUCUAAUACUGGAUACGAGCUGCGAAGGCAUCUUCUGCAGCUGGAAAGAAUUUCGGUCAGGGAUGAGCUCGCGGCCUAUCAGCUUGUUGGUGAGGUAAUGGCUCACCACGGCGUCGACGGGUAGCCGGCCUGAGAGGGUGACCGGACACACAGGGACUGAGACACGGCCCAGACGGCAGCGGGAGGCAGCAGUGGAGAAUGUUGCAAAAUGGGCUGAAGCCUGAUGCAGCAACGCCGCGUGAGGGACGACGGCCUUCGGGUUGUAGACCUCUUUUAGCAGGGAAGAAGCGAAAGUGACGGUACCUGCAGAAAAAGCGCCGGCUAACUACGUG